AAAUUCAAAAGGAAUGGAUGUCAAAUUCAGUCAAUCUCAUCAAAACUAGCACAAGACGAACAACCUGGGGUUUGAAAAGGACUCUGCAGUCCAGUGAACAAGAUGAAUCCACAGUAAUUGUUGUAAGUGCAUCGCAAGACAGACGCUAGAUAGUGAAAAUACGAUGCAGCUAUAACAACGUCUCUAAUCAAAGUUGAGAACAAAUAGAGCUAGUUCAUCAGUAAACAAAUUUGAGCAUAGUGUCCUAUUUCUAGGCAAACAGCAGAGUCAACAAAGAAAUUAACUGUGAGAACAGUGUUCACUGAUUAAGGCCUCAGAGACUUAACAUGCUCAAACCACCAGACAUCCAGAGGAAGGAACAAGUUGACAAAAUUCCACAUGCUAGCACUGUUUGUCUGUUAACAUCAAGCAUAGUUUCCAUGCAUGCAAUGCAGACAGGUUACAUCCCCAAUUUGGUGGUUCAGGAACCUCAUUACUUAUUUUGUAACUUUGCAACAAAGCAUUAAACGAAACAGAAUCACUUAGGAUCAUACAGUUUUGGGGGGUUGAAGCAAAAAUAAAAAUAACAAGACAGGCAAAACAUGACACAAACAAAUUAAACGCUCAGAAAAUCCAAGCACAUGCUAGUGCUUUAUUACUGCUUACUCUUCCAUUUUAUUGUUCGUGUCCAUAUUUUAUUGGAUAAGGUAACAGCUAACAACAUUAUCCCAACAACUAACAUGUGCAUUUGACUUUUGCCCCUUUUUUAUAAGAUGAGUCCCUAUAAUUUGAGCAUGCUGGGGGACAAACAAUUUUACAGGAGGAUGGUCUACAAUACAGUAAUGCUAACAGAUGCAAGGUAUUUAUGGCUUUUAUCCACACAACAGCUGUGUUUUGUUACCAAGUGGCAAACCUACGCAUGGGGACUUGUUUCUCAGUGAAGAAAUGCAAUUAAUUUCUCAAGCAACUGGUUUGUUUGAUUAAGGUCUCUAACUAAUGCAACCUGUCCAUUGCUAAUCUAGAAGAUACAAACUUGAGCUCUAAAUCACAUAUUUUCUGGAUUUCAAAACACCUUGGAAUACAUGCAUCAUGCUCUACUGGCCCUACUGCAGUCUGCAUAUCACAUCAACUCAAAGAUCCUGUAUGAGGAUGUGGAGCUAAUUGAGUUUAUUGAGGAUCGUCGGCCCACAAAACAAGACUAACUGUUAGCUUCUAACCCUGGACCCUGAAAAGAAAUGCACUGUCUCCCAACUGAUAAUCCGAAAAUACUUUAAAGACCAACCUGUCUAAGUCGAUAUGAAGUGUAAAUAUGGGCCCUCAAGCACUACGUCACAAUAAGUAAACUGACUUAGACUUAUCAAAGAAAAGCUCCCAUGAGCACUCUUACAAACUGACAAUAAUCAAAGUGAUUAACUGAUUAGGAUUUUCAUAUAAUUAGAGAUAACGAUUUAAAAAAUGCAUAGUUUUACAAUCAAUGGAUUGCUAGCAUUUUAAUCACUUCAUAAAGUUGAAACCACUUUUUUUUAGUCCAUGCCCCACAUAAGGCCUAAGAUUGAACAACAAGGUUGGCUAUGCAAGUGGGUCUUGUGUGUUUCUUUAAAGUUAUGGCACAUGGUAGACCACAAAUGUGAUGCAUCAAGCAUAGACAUCAUUGGAUACUGCAGAAAAAAUCUUAAACCUGAACUCAGGUAGUUUAUCUCCCUUCAUAAAUGCACAUAACUACGGUAUUUAAAGCUGUUAAGACACUUUGUGACCUUAGAAAGCUAGUAGGACACAGAUGGAUUUGGGAAUUCAUAAGAAGAUGAUUAAACUAAGGCCGUGUCCCCAGAAAACCUGUCUCCGACCAUAAGCACCGGACAGUACAAAGGUUAUUUCUAUUGAGGUUGAUAACCAACAUGUACUAAUGUACAAUGGUGGGUCUAAACAACAAGAAGUACAUCUCCCCUCCAGCAACUCAUUGGUUUGGGACCAGCCAUUCAUUCAAUAGACAACUUCUUGGAUGGGCAAUUGCCCCAUAAAUCAUAAUUAGGGGACAGGACAGUUCCUAAAUGAUGAAUUUUGACGAAAGAAUGAAAAUGCAGAUGAAGAAAAAAAUGAAUUUUUUCAGCUUCAGUUUUAUGACCUCUGCAAAGCGCAUCCUUACAGAGCUAGUAAAUAUUGUAGUUGGAUCAAACUCUAAUCACUUUCGUUGUAAAACCAAAACCUAUCUUAAAUCUGUUCAGACAUCAAGGUAGUAAUUCAUUCAAGGACAGCUACUACAACUUGCUAUAAGAUGCAAACAUUAUACGAUGCAUGGCUGCAUGGCUGAUGUAAUUCAUUCAAGCUAUGGCCAGUCCUGGGAGAGGAAGAGAAGGGUCACAGGUGUAAUCAGGAUUACUUUAACAUGACUACAUGGCUAAUGUAAUUAUAGAUCUCUGUCAUAACUUACGAGGAGGACUUCUGGUGAUGGAAUUCGUAAGAAGAAAUAUAGCCAAGUAGCGAAACUCAGAUGGGAAUUAGAAGAGAAAAACAUGAGGAGUUAGUAAACAUGGCUAGAAGCUUAACUAAUGUUCAGAUUCCUUUGUUAUGCUUCCAAGAAGAAAAAAUAACCAAGCUAAAAACUCUCCAGAAUGCAAUAAAUCCAUCUCUAACAGGCAUAAUUACGAAUCAACCGAAAACAAGAAAAAAAAAACCUAUAAUUAUGAAAGGAAACCACUUAGGCAGCAGAACCUUAUGUCAGACCAACAAUCAUCACUAUUUCCAAAAAUCAAAAUAACCAUCCAAA